AAAGCCGGGAGUCCAGUGAACGGGCAGAAGCAGGGCCAUGCCCAAGCCACCCCCAAGAUCCCCCUGAACCUGCACCUCCAUCACGACCCAUUCAGGAGCCUCCAGGAGCCCAGACACCAGCCCCCCACCAUGGGCAGCAAGGAGCGCUUCCACUGGCAGAGCCACAACGUGAAGCAGAGCGGCGUGGAUGACAUGGUGCUUCUUCCCCAGAUCACCGAAGACGCCAUCGCCGCCAACCUCCGGAAGCGCUUCAUGGACGACUACAUCUUCACCUACAUCGGCUCCGUGCUCAUCUCUGUAAACCCCUUCAAGCAGAUGCCCUACUUCACCGACCGUGAGAUCGACCUCUAUCAGGGCGCGGCCCAGUAUGAGAAUCCCCCGCACAUCUACGCCCUCACGGACAACAUGUACCGGAACAUGCUUAUCGACUGUGAGAACCAGUGUGUCAUCAUUAGUGGAGAGAGUGGAGCUGGGAAGACAGUGGCAGCCAAAUAUAUCAUGGGCUACAUCUCCAAGGUGUCUGGCGGAGGCGAGAAGGUCCAGCACGUCAAAGAUAUCAUCCUGCAGUCCAACCCGCUGCUCGAGGCCUUCGGCAACGCCAAGACUGUGCGCAACAACAAUUCCAGCCGCUUUGGCAAGUACUUUGAGAUCCAGUUCAGCCGAGGUGGGGAGCCAGAUGGGGGCAAGAUCUCCAACUUCUUGCUGGAGAAGUCCCGCGUGGUCAUGCAAAAUGAAAAUGAGAGGAACUUCCACAUCUACUACCAGGUGCAGGGAAGGGGCCGGGGGAGAGGGAGCCCCACCUGGAGCCCAGCGGGGUGGACAAUGGGAAGGUAAACACCUAGGGGGGCAUGGCAGGGCAGAUGAGGGAUCACAGGGGCUGAGCCAGGCAAGCACCAGAUGCAUGAACAUGGCACACCCUCCAGCUGCUGGAAGGGGCCUCCCAGGAGCAAAGGCAGAACCUGGGCCUCAUGACACCAGACUACUAUUACUACCUCAACCAAUCGGACACCUACCAGGUGGACGGCACGGACGACAGAAGCGACUUUGGUGAGACUCUGGUGAGCACCGGCCUCCACUCCAGUCCCCGGCCAGGCAGACCUCAGCCCCAGAAACCCUCCUGAGUUACAAAUUA
rnacentral:sRNA from 1 species